ACUCAGUCGCGGUGCGGCUUGAACACCACCGUCGCCAGCGGCGGGAGCACGACCGUGAUCGAAUGGUCGCGGCCGUGGUGCGGCUCGGCGGCUGCGUG
rnacentral:tRNA from 1 species